GACGAACGCUGGCGGCGUGCUUAACACAUGCAAGUCGAACGGAAAGGCCCUGCUUUUGUUGGGUGCUCGAGUGGCGAACGGGUGAGUAACACGUGAGUAACCUGCCCUUGACUUUGGGAUAACUUCAGGAAACUGGGGCUAAUACCGGAUAGGAGCUCCUGCUGCAUGGUGGGGGUUGGAAAGUUUCGGCGGUUGGGGAUGGACUCGCGGCUUAUCAGCUUGUUGGUGGGGUAGUGGCUUACCAAGGCUUUGACGGGUAGCCGGCCUGAGAGGGUGACCGGCCACAUUGGGACUGAGAAACGGUCCAGACUCCUACGGGAGACAGCGGUGGGGAAUAUUGCACAAUGGGCGGAAGCCUAAUGCAGCAACGCGGCGUGCGGGAUGACGGCCUUCGGGUUGUAAACCGUUUUCGCCUGUGCCGAAGCGUGAGUGACGGUAAUGGGUAAAGAAGCACCGGCUAACUACGUG
rnacentral:rRNA from 1 species